UACGGGGGGGGGCAAGCGUUUGUUCGGAAUUACUGGGCGUAAAGGGCUCGUAGGCGGCCAACUAAGUCGGAUGUGAAAUCCCCAGGCUUAACCUGGGAACUGCAUCCGAUACUGGAUGGCUUGAAUCCGGGAGAGGGAUGCAGAAUUCCAGGUGUAGCGGUGAAAUGCGUAGAUAUCUGGAGGAAUACCGGUGGCGAAGGCGGCAUCCUGGACCGGCAUUGACGCUGAGUGAGCGAAAGCCAGGGGAGCAAACGGG
rnacentral:rRNA from 1 species